UACGGAGGAUCCAAGCGUUAUCCGGAAUUACUGGGCGUAAAGAGUUGCGUAGGUGGCAUAGUAAGCAGACAGUGAAAGCGUGUGGCUCAACCAUAUACACAUUGUUUGAACUGCUAAGCUAGAGAGUGAGAGAGGUAUCUGGAAUUCCCAGUGUAGGAGUGAAAUCCGUAGAUAUUGGGAGGAACACCGAUGGCGUAAGCAGGAUACUGGCUCAUUUCUGACACUCAGGCACGAAAGCGUGGGGAGCAAACGGG
rnacentral:rRNA from 1 species